rnacentral:lncRNA from 1 species
UAGAACAUAACUUUUUACAAUGCAUGGGACAGGCUUAUUCAUUCUCACCAACUCAAAAUAAAGGUUAAUAUUGAAAGAAAGAAAAAAAUUGGUUUUGAUUCUUAAAACUACCUUUAAUUUGACUCUUUUUCAUGUAUAACACUCCAGUUGGUUAAUCAUAUUCAAAGGAAGGCAGUUACCUCACAAGUAGCUCUUAUGAUGUCAAACAUUCUAUAGCCUGAAAUUUCAACCUCAACCUUGACCUUCACUUCCCUCACAACCACUUGAAUUUUUACCCUCGCAGCCACUUGAGCUAAAAUGAAAACUCCACUUUGCUUUCAUCAGUUUUGGGGAUUGUUUUUAUACUGCUGUGGUGGCAGCUCUCAUCAGGAAUUGGAAAGUUCCUCUGACCUCAGUGAACUUUCAGGCCCCUGCACUCUACAGUUUCUCCUUUUGUGA